rnacentral:rRNA from 1 species
GACAGAGGGUGCUAGCGUUGUUCGGAAUGACUGGGCGUAAAGGGCGCGUAGGCUGCUUUUUAAGUCAGGCGUGAAAGCCCCGGGCUCAACCUGGGAACUGCGUUUGAUACUGGAAGGCUUGAGUGCGGAAGAGGAGAGUGGAAUUCCUAGUGUAGAAGUGAAAUUCGUAGAUAUUAGGAGGAACACCAGAGGCGAAGGCGACUCUCUGGUCCGCAACUGACGCUGAGGCGCGAAAGCGUGGGGAGCAAACAGG